CUAUUGAAAAUAAAUGAUUCCAAUGUGAAAAGCCACUUCAGGUUCCGAAUGCAACCUUAGAAUAUCAUUUAAAUAGAAGAAUUCUAUUUCUCAGCCACACAUGGCUUCUUCAGAACAGAAUUAUAACGCUGGCUAUCAACCCAUAAACUCCUGCCACACUGCGCCCUAAAUUUUCAAAGGAUCUGAACGCUCUUUAAUGGCAGACUAAGUUUAGGUCUCAAAGGAACCCUCUUUAUUCGGUAAACGGACUGGAUACUCAGAUGUUUUUUGGCUUUAUUCCUAGUGCUGAUAUACAUUCCCGGUGGGUAAGGAUAUUAGAUACUUUAUUUCUGGAUAAGUGAGUUGUUACCAAAAUUAAAGUAUACAGAAGACCUCUAAUCUAGAAUCAGACAUAUGCUAUUUUAAAAGACAUCCCUUGAGAAAAUAAAUGUUCCUUCUCAAACAGUAAACAUUGCAUUAAGGACCCAUAAUCUGAUCCUUUUAUAGCUCAUAAGUGUGAUAACUGGAUUUUCACUCUCCUGUGUGAGAUGUGCUUCCCUCAAACCUUGUUACAUCAGCACAUUACGUGUCUGAUUUGAAAAACAUAGGACCUAUAAUCUGUUUUACCUUUGUAUUAAGGCUAUUAGAGGGUACACUGGGUGCCAUGGGACACAGACCAUGGUUAAGACACAAUUUAAGGCUGCUAUGGCCUGUUCUCUCUCUCAACUAGCAACUUUGUCAAAAUACCACCAAACCUGGAGCUGAGAAGUUCAUUUGCAAAAUCCUUGCUCCAGCUGACUGAAAGGGAAGACAUAUGGAGUGUGUAUGGUCUGGUAAAGAAGAAUACAUCUACUUUAACUAGAUCCAUUUCUUAAAAGAUAUUUAUGCUACUAACAACCGAGAACGGGAAAAUUGGGUUAGAGGCCAUUUCAAACUUCAAUAAUCUUGUGGUAUAAGAUUCAUUUCUAUCAUCCCUUGUAGAAAUUUAGUCUUAAAUUAGUUCUAUCCAACCUGGAUUGCUCCUUCAACCUCCUGUUUCUUCAGCCCUUUCAAGAAUUUUUCCAUGUGGAUGGGUCCUCUCUUUCCAAGACUGCAAGAUCCUGAAGUCAUGGUAAGAUGAGUCUUCCCUUUCUCUGGUUCUCCUCUUCUGCUCCCUAGUAUCCAGUCUGGUAUUAUGAUCCAAUGACGGCUUUAAAAAAAUCUGUCUCAACUUUGCAGAGCACAUAGGUGCAACCAGAAUUCUCCACAUAUGUAAUCUUAG
rnacentral:lncRNA from 10 species